rnacentral:rRNA from 1 species
UACGGGGGGGCAAGCGUUGUUCGGAAUUACUGGGCGUAAAGGGUGCGUAGGCGGCUUUCUAAGUUGGAUGUGAAAACUAUGGGCUCAACCCAUAGCCUGCAUCCAAAACUGGAGAGCUUGGGUUCUGGAGGGGAAAGCGGAAUUCCUGGUGUAGCGGUGAAAUGCGUAGAUAUCAGGAGGAACACCGGUGGCGAAGGCGGCUUUCUGGACAGAUACCGACGCUGAGGCACGAAAGCUAGGGGAGCAAACAGG